GGGAGCCGGAUGCCUUAAUUGGGCAUGUCCGGUUCUGAGAGGGCGAAAUUUCGUGAGAGAUUAGCUACUCACC
rnacentral:ncRNA from 1 species